rnacentral:rRNA from 1 species
GAAAUUACGCCUGCAUGAAGCCGGAAUUGCUAGUAAUGGCAGGUCAGCAUACUGCCGUGAAUACGUUCCCGGGCCUUGUACACACCGCCCGUCACACCAUGAGAGUUGGGGAUACCCAAAGCCCGUGAGCCAACUGUAAAGAGGCAGCGGUCUAAGGUAGAAUCAAUGAUUGGGGUGAAGUCGUAACAAGGUAUC